rnacentral:rRNA from 1 species
UACGGAGGGGGCAAGCGUUGUCCGGAUUUAUUGGGCGUAAAGAGCGUGUAGGCGGCCAUACAGGUCAGCUGUGAAAACUCGAGGCUCAACCUCGAGACGUCGGUUGAAACCGUAUGGCUAGAGUCCGGAAGAGGAGAGUGGAAUUCCCGGUGUAGCGGUGAAAUGCGCAGAUAUCAGGAGGAACACCGAUGGCGAAGGCAGGUCUCUGGGCAUUAACUGACGCUGAGGAGCGAAAGCAUGGGGGAGCGAACAGG